rnacentral:rRNA from 1 species
AGCGAACGCUGGCGGCAGGCCUAACACAUGCAAGUCGAACGAAACCUUCGGGUUUAGUGGCGGACGGGUGAGUAACACGUGGGAACGUGCCCUUUGGUUCGGAACAACCCAGGGAAACUUGAGCUAAUACCGGAUGUGCCCUUCGGGGGAAAGAUUUAUCGCCAUUGGAGCGGCCCGCGUAGGAUUAGCUAGUUGGUGGGGUAAUGGCCCACCAAGGCUCCGAUCCUUAGCUGGUCUGAGAGGAUGAUCAGCCACACUGGGACUGAGACACGGCCCAGACUCCUACGGGAGGCAGCAGUGGGGAAUCUUGCGCAAUGGGCGAAAGCCUGACGCAGCCAUGCCGCGUGGAUGAUGAAGGUCUUAGGAUUGUAAAAUCCUUUCACCGGUGAAGAUAAUGACUGUAGCCGGAGAAGAAGCCCCGGCUAACUUCGUGCCAGCCGCCGCCGUAACAC